UCCCAGCUGGCUCAGUGGUAAAGAAUCUGCCUGAGAAUGCAGGAGACGCAGGUUUGAUCCCUGGGUUGGGAA
rfam:TPA: Bos taurus chromosome 11, whole genome shotgun sequence.